rnacentral:rRNA from 1 species
UACGUAGGGUGCAAGCGUUGUCCGGAAUUAUUGGGCGUAAAGAGCUCGUAGGCGGUUUUGUUGCGUCGGCUGUGAAAUCCCGAGGCUCAACCUCGGGUCUGCAGUCGAUACGAGCAAACUAGAGUGUUGCAGGGGAGACUGGAAUUCCUGGUGUAGCGGUGAAAUGCGCAGAUAUCAGGAGGAACACCGGUGGCGAAGGCGGGUCUCUGGGCAACAACUGACGCUGAGGAGCGAAAGCGUGGGGGAGCGAACAGG